ensembl:snoRNA SNORA70 Small nucleolar RNA SNORA70
CUGCAACCAGUUAAGCCAACCGUGCUCUUUUCCCCAUGGGAGCCCCAUGGGCAAUGGCCACAAACAGCAGCCUCCUUGGUAGUGUAUGCAGCCUUUUGCUCAUGUGGGUUGUCCUAAGGGACCUUGGAGACAAGC